ACCGAACACGGUAGUUAAGCCCUCCAGCGCCGAUGGUACUAGUAGGUUCGCCUUCUGGGAGAGUAGGUCGCUGCCGGCU
rnacentral:rRNA from 1 species